AUCCAGAUGACGAGUCCCAAACAGGAGGAAACGCGCAUUUUCCUGGAU
rnacentral:hammerhead_ribozyme from 1 species